rnacentral:rRNA from 1 species
UACGCAGGGGGCAAGCGUUGUCCGGAAUCAUUGGGCGUAAAGCGCGUGUAGGCGGCCCGUUAAGUCCGCUGUGAAAGUCGGGGGCUCAACCCUCGAAUGCCGGUGGAUACUGUCGGGCUAGAGUGCGGAAGAGGCGAGUGGAAUUCCUGGUGUAGCGGUGAAAUGCGCAGAUAUCAGGAGGAACACCAAUUGCGAAGGCAGCUCGCUGGGACGUGACUGACGCUGAGACGCGAAAGCGUGGGGAGCAAACAGG